rnacentral:rRNA from 1 species
AGUGAACGCUGGCGGUAGGCCUAACACAUGCAAGUCGAACGGCAGCACAGGAGAGCUUGCUCUCUGGGUGGCGAGUGGCGGACGGGUGAGGAAUACAUCGGAAUCUACUUUUUCGUGGGGGAUAACGUAGGGAAACUUACGCUAAUACCGCAUACGACCUACGGGUGAAAGCGGGGGAUCUUCGGACCUUGCGCGAUUGAAUGAGCCGAUGUCGGAUUAGCUAGUUGGCGGGGUAAAGGCCCACCAAGGCGACGAUCCGUAGCUGGUCUGAGAGGAUGAUCAGCCACACUGGAACUGAGACACGGUCCAGACUCCUACGGGAGGCAGCAGUGGGGAAUAUUGGACAAUGGGCGCAAGCCUGAUCCAGCCAUACCGCGUGGGUGAAGAAGGCCUUCGGGUUGUAAAGCCCUUUUGUUGGGAAAGAAAUCCAGCUGGCUAAUACCCGGUUGGGAUGACGGUACCCAAAGAAUGAGCACCGGCUAACUUCGUGCCAGCAGCCGCAGUAA